UCCGAGUUGACCCCGGCAGUCUCUUAUGAGUCCCCACCAUUACGUGCUGGCAACAUAAGACGAGGGUUGCGCUCGUUGCGGGACUUAACCCAACAUCUCACGGCACGAGCUGACGACAGCCAUGCAGCACCUUACUGGCGGUGUAUUGCUACAAAGAGAGCUUUCACCCUCGGUCUUCCAGCAUUCUAGCCCAGGUAAGGUUCCUCGCGUAUCAUCGAAUUAAACCACAUGCUCCACCGCUUGUGCGGGCCCCCGUCAAUUCCUUUGAGUUUCAGCCUUGCGGCCGUACUCCCCAGGCGGGGCACUUAAUGCGUUAGCGCCGGCCCUCGGGGGGUCGCUCCCCCAAGCGCCUAGUGCCCAUCGUUUACGGCGUGGACUAC
rnacentral:misc_RNA from 1 species